rnacentral:rRNA from 1 species
UACAGGGGGUGCAAACGUUGCUCGGAAUCAUUGGGCGUAAAGCGCACGUAGGCGGUCUGUUAUGUCGGAUGUGAAAGCCCUCGGCUCAACUGAGGAAGUGCAUCCGAAACUGGCAGGCUAGAGUACUAAAGAGGGUCGCGGAAUUCCCGGUGUAGAGGUGAAAUUCGUAGAUAUCGGGAGGAACACCGGUGGCGAAGGCGGCGACCUGGGUAGAUACUGACGCUGAGGUGCGAAAGCGUGGGGAUCAAACAGG